rnacentral:rRNA from 1 species
UACGUAGGGUGCGAGCGUCGUCCGGAAUUAUUGGGCGUAAAGAGCUUGUAGGCGGUUUGUCGCGUCUGCUGUGAAAAUCCGGGGCUCAACCCCGGACUUGCAGUGGGUACGGGCAGACUGGAGUGUGGUAGGGGAGACUGGAAUUCCUGGUGUAGCGGUGGAAUGCGCAGAUAUCAGGAGGAACACCGAUGGCGAAGGCAGGUCUCUGGGCCACUACUGACGCUGAGAAGCGAAAGCAUGGGGAGCGAACAGG